UCAUUAAUAACUUACUUGUUUGGAGAGAUGUGUUUGAGCAUGCAGAAGCCCUGCACUUCCCUCAAAACUGUAGAAUGCAUUAAGAGCCCAUCACAUGGGACAAUCAAAGGUAGAAACAAAAAGGAUGUUCCCCUGCAUAUUUUUCUUGUAUAUGAAGUAGAAAACAUUCUACCUGGUGAGAAAUAAUACAGUUUCUAGUUAUCUGGAUGUUUGUUGAAAAUACAUUAGAUAUAUUCCCUGAGAUUUAAAAAAAACAAAACAAAAAACAGUAUAACAUGACCAGUCUGGUUAAAAGGGUUGAAUAAAACAGCUAGUGUUAUGGCUCCGUUUCCUACUGCUGCAGAUGUGAAUGGUCUUGGUCAUUCCACAGGAGUCAGAACUUCCUUCCCCACUGAGGAGGAACAGCUUUUUGUGUUGUGAGCAGAGCCUCCACUCCAAACACACGGCAAUGUGGUUGCUAGCCCCAGGGAGCAGGUGGCUUGAUUAGCAAACCUCACCUGCAGAAUCCAUUGCAACUUUCAACAGUGAAGUGAUCCAUUUCCAUUACUACUUUAUUUAUAGCAUUUUUCUCUACUCUAUGAAGGGAAGACAUUGACUUUCACUGGAGAACGGGAGAAUGAUGGUGUUCCUUGUGACUUCUCCAACUUUAUGGCAAAGUGGAGCAGAGAAGAGCACCCCCCCAAGGAAAGAGAUCCAUGCACAAGAUACCCCCCAACUCCUUUCAUUGUUAGUCUUGUCCAACUUUGCCUGAUACUCUUUUUUUAAAAUAAAAAUAUUCACGUAGGAAUCAGUAGCUUACCUCCUUCUCCAAUUUCUUAAGUGGGGUUGAAAGACACUUGCUGAUAAUGAAGAAUGCUUAUUACUGAUGGUGGGGAGAACGUUUUGUGCAUGUGGGAUACAGUCAUUAUAACAAAAAAAAUCAGAUUCUUUGGCUCUAGUUUUUGUGUUUUCUUUUUCUAGCCGCACACACACCAGAAGAGCACAAAGCAAGACCAUCACAAUAGGUAUUUUUAAGCUAGCGUAAAACACACACUUGCAUACACACACACGCACGCACGCACGCACCAUACUGGGGCAUUUGUAAAGACAUGCAUAGAAUGUAAGAUUUAGAACUUACAAGGGGAAGGCGUUGCCACUUUGUGUCCUUCCUAGGACCAGUAUGCAUUCACCGAAAGUAAAUCUUGAUUUUUUUAUUGUUUGAGCUAUAUGUUGACUUGCUUCUGGUUUAUGUGUAGUGUGUUCUCACUGGCGGGGGACGGCAAGGGGCUGGAAGAUUCUGCAUCACACAUCCUCUGAGACCCACCGUGAUCACACACUUUGUUGACUACAAACUUCACUCUACACUAUACAGUACUUUGUUGAUAUAUUCAGUAAAGGCUUAUUUUAAAAAGAAACCGCAUUGUGUUUAUCUGAGUAAGUUCCUUGGGACACUGCCAAUCCUUGUUUUGUUCAUGUCAAAGCGAAAUGAGGGCCGUUUCCUGAUGGAGGACGAUGGCAAGAAUGAAGGAGGUAAUGGGAUUUUUCAUUUUCUCUUACCUGGGAGAUGACGUCUGUGUUUUAAAGCCAUUGGACCCUUUUUGUGGGAAGGGUUUAUAUGAAAUCUUCAUGUUCUUUUCUAUUUCCUGACUCAAUUGUGUGUUCCUGAAUAUCUUUUGAAUAUGCACACAUACAUUGAGCAUAUUAUUUUGUGUUUGUGAAACCUGUGUUGUUUAGAAUAUAGAUAAAUAUCAAUGUAGUUAUCUCAUCAGAAUAAUGUUUUUCCCUAUUUCAUAAUAUAAAUUCUUGGUUUUAAAUGUCAAUUUUCCUUAAGAAUUCUCAUGGUACUUUCUAUUUCAGAAUUGUUUAUAGCUCACCCACUCAUACUUUCAAUGAGCACUCAUGAUAAUGUAUUUAUUCAUAUGCUCAAGUUCAACUUGAGAUUAACCUCCUGAUUUUCCAGAACCCCUUUCUCUAACUUCUCUUGGCCAUUUCACUUACAAUGUAUUUGACAGAAACUGAAUCAGGAAAUAAAAUCAUGACACUUCAGUUACCAGUAUUAAUGAUUUGCAGAAUGUCUGUUGGAGAAUUAACCAUGAAAGACAGUGGUAACAGGGGAUUCAUAGUACCUUUGGGAGAUCUUAUGUAAAAUAGUAUCUAUGUGUUCUUGGCUACUUUUGCCAAAAGUUACAAACUUUAUGGAGACCAGACCCUUAGUCAAGGAAUAAAUUUCAUUCGAAAAGUUUGAUGAAACUCUUUCGACUCAGUUCCAAGCACUGGUCUGAGUUCAAAGGUUUCACAGAAGAAGAAGAAGAAGAAAAAAAUACAGUCCCAGCUAAAUCAAAUGUAUCUUCUACCCCACCAUGUUCCUAAAGAUUGUUGCUCCAAUGUAUUUACUCCUCAUCUAUUUUUGACAAAGUACUUUCUGAGGUUCUAUUGGGAUUCAGAGAAAAAAUAUGGCUCUGCUGCUAAGAAGCCCACAGAUUGGGUAAUAAAUGUCUUUCUAC
ensembl:lncRNA